AGAAAUAUAAAAACACAAAAUUUCUUUCUUCUUUUUUGGAUUUUUGAUUUAUAACACAUUUUUUUCCGAUACAAAAUAGGAAAUACAAUAACGAAAGACUCAACAUUACUGUACAAAACUAGAAGGUAAAAGACGACGUAAAAAGAAAAAAAGACUCAAAACAUGAAAAGAAAAAUCUCCUUAAGCAACUCCUGAAUGAGCGAUCCUGUCUGGAUGGUCCCGAGGUGUCUAUCAUGCUCAAACUUCAGUAAGUAAAUCCACACCUGUAUGAGAAAACUGAAACCAACACUAUAUGAGACAAUAAUAUUCCCUACUAGACACAUGCAAGACAUGGUUGAGGCUAUUUUUGCAAAAUGGCUUAUGUGACCAAAAAGGUGGCUAGAAGUGCAAAAUUUGGCUAAGAUCCCGCAAAGCCAAGAGCCUAAGAUUCACUAGGAAGACCGGACCCUAUGUGGAUUGCCUACGUAUCACGCCCCGAAAAACGAGAAUCAUGUAUGCGUAGUUCAGGCAGAUUGGAUACGGGCGACAAUUAAAAAACAACCAAUUUAGAGAAAAUAUGUUUUUUUUGUCUUUUUUUUUUUGAAAAAUGAGGAAAUAUGUAAACUCUUUUUGGAUUUUCUUUUCCCUUUUUUUUGAUUUUUUUGAUUUUCGGAAAAUGAUGAAAAAGUGCAAAAUCUUUUUUUUUUGAAUUUUUCAUGUUUUCUUUUCUUUUUCUUAACAAAAAUGUGAAAGAAAACAUAACUGGGCCCUACUUGCUUUAUUUUCACACUUCACCCUCUCUUUUUUCUUCUUUUUUUUCAUUUUUCCUCAAUUAUUAUUAGUCCGCCAAAUGACCCUUUUACCCUUGAAGAUUGCCACAUGUAGCACAUAGGAUGCAUCAGGAUGGUCUUUUAUUUUUGGGUACACCUGUCCUAGACGAACCCAACCCCUGUGUUGAGUCCCCAAAGUUAAAUGCACAUGAUGCAAACAAACGUGCCUACUAGGGUUCCGGCAUGUGGUUAUGUUAUUCUAAGUUUAAAUCUGGGGUUGUGUUAUUGACCUGACUUACCCGAGCGGACUACUCGAGCCAAAGAGGGGGCAACGUACCGGGAGCAUGAAAGUCUACCCGGCCUUAUUGUUGGCCCAACCUCGUUCUAUUUGGUGUAACUUCUAAUAGAAAAAGUGGGUCAGGCGAACGUGUGCACCAUAUUUAGAAGACUUAGAGGGGUGGCGUAAGAAGGCAUUUUAAUACAAUUCAAACAAUAUUGAAAUCGUAAAUAAACAUCAAUUAGCACAUUAGGUUCACAAAAAUACAGUAAUAUUAAUAAUAAAUAAAGCCAAAUAAAAUCAUAUUAAAAAGCUCGAAUUCUUGAAUCCUAAAUUAUAAGUUCUGAGUUCUUAUCCGCAGCAGAGUCGCUAGAGCUGUCACACCUCCUUCUUACUACCCCGGAAGGGAUAUAAGGGAGUUUUUUUUCCAAUUUAAGUGACAAUCGAAACGGUAUUAUUUAUUUAAAAAAUCAGAGUCUCCACUUGGGAUAAUUUAUGGUGUCCCAAGUCACCGGUUUAAAAUCCCAAAACGAGGAAGUUGACUCUUAAUCAUGGUCUGCGAACACAGAAAUUUGGGUAAAGAAUUCUAUUAACCCGGGAGAAGGUGUUAGGCAUUCCCGGGUUCCGUGGUUUUAGUACGGUCGCUUUGAUCAUACUUGGCUUAAUAAAAUUGUCUAAUUACUCAUUUUAGAACAUAUGUGCAUUUACCUUUUUUAAUUAAGACAUUAUCUUAAAACAGGUCACGCGCACGUGUACCCAUUUAUUUGGCACGUCAAAAAUCAUGUCACGCGAACAUGUCCACAAUUAAUAACGCUUUGUUAUUGUUAAGAAAGUUUAGUCGAAGUUGCGCGAACGCAUACUCCGGUUUUAUUUUUAGGAUCGUAAUUAUGUCACGCGAACGCGUACACAAUCACGAUGAUAGAUUAAGUCACGCUUAAAGCAAGCUGCGAGGUUCAUGAAUUAUUUUACUAACUACUUCGAGAUUACGCGUGAAAGGUCUAUGAUUAUGGAGCACAUUCGCUAAAAGAUAUUUCAUGCUCGUAUUCUUUUUACCUUUCAUUUCUUGCAUUCAACCCAGCCCAAUUCCUAAUUAUGUGAGCAAUUUUAAUCAUCAAUGGGCUAGGCAUUUCAAAAUUCAGAAAUUUAGCACGUGCUCUGUCCUUUGUCACACAAACACACGAGUGAAGAGAAUGAUAACAGAAUCACUCGCACAUAGAGAUUCGGAGAAAGAGCAAUAGAAAACCAAUUGACCACAAUAGAGAAUUGACAGAGCUAGGAGGCACUGAUAUGAACCAAACAUGAAAGGACUGAAAGCAGAGACGAUGUAAGUGCGUAAAUCACAAAUAAUGAUUUAUACAUCAUAUCCAUUGCAAUUUACCAAAUAAUCUCUCUUUAUUCACUUUCCUAACACUCUAGGUAUCAGUCAAAUUUAUACUUACCCAUUAAUAAAAUCAGUUGAAAAACCAAACUGCAAAAUCCUCCAUUUCGGUUCAACAAAGCAUGUGAUAUUGAAUUCAAGAAUUAACUUAACAUGUACACUCCAAUUCAUUUCAAUCAAAACAAAACAAUUAAUAGUAAAACAGUGAUUCACUUAAACCAAACUCACUGAAAACAAGCAUUAUAAGAUAGAGAAUCCUUCAAACCAGAUCAUGUUCUAGAUUUAAUAAUAAAAUCAAACAUUAAACAAACCAAACCAUAUUCUUAUUGCAUGAUCAAAUAGAAGAAAUGAAGCUUGAACCAACUGACCGGAUCAGGACCAACGAUGGCAACCUCGAAACGUCAAUAACUGGCUCCAAACAAAUCCCACAACGAGUUCCAAAAUGGACUCAAACUAACGAAAACUUCAACAACAGAAAAUGAGGCUCACGACCACCCAGAGAUUGAACUGCAAAAAGGGAGGAAACGAGGGAUCGAGAGAAGGAACGCUGAUUUUGACUGGAACUUAAGAGGCCAUGAAGUAUGAAAACUCUGAAAUUGCAAGGCUUUUCCGGCAGACAGGAAAUAGGGAAAAUUGUUGGUUCUCUGCUUCAACGGUUAGGACUUGCCGCUGCUUAAGAUUAACGAAGAUGGGGGAGGGCGUUCUUGGUCUUGUCCGCUGAUAGUUCUAGCUAGGGGUCCUUUUUUGGUUCUUGCUGCUUCAAGAAGAUCGAUAGGGGGGGGGGGUCUUGGUUUGAUCGAAGCGGCCGAUCUCUUCGGUCUAGGGGCAUAAGGUGUAUACGUCUAGGUUUUUUAAGAAGAAUAAGGGUCUGAAUCUUGGGUGUUGG
rnacentral:lncRNA from 1 species